GACGAACGCUGGCGGCGUGCUUAACACAUGCAAGUCGAACGAAGUGGCGAACGGGUGAGUAACGCGUAAUCAACCUGCCCUUCAGAGGGGGACCACAGUUGGAAACGACUGCUAAUACCGCUUACUGACGGAGGGGAUUGCGUCUGAUUGGCUCGUUGGAGGGGUAACGGACCACCAAGGCGGUGAGCAGUAGCCGGUAUGAGAGGAUGAACGGCCACAUUGGGACUGAGUCACGGCCCAGACUCCUACGGGAGGCAGCAGUGGGGAAUCGUCCGCAAUGGAAGAAAGUCGUACGGAGCAACGCCGCGGGAGUGAUUACGGCCUUCGGGUUGUAAAGCUCUGUUAAUCGGGACGCGGUACCUGAAGAGAAAGCCACGGCUAACUACGUGCCAGCCGCCGCGGUAAUUC
rnacentral:rRNA from 1 species